AUACUUAGAUGGCAAGGGAGACACCAUGAUUACAAAGGUGGUUUUCCCAGAGCAAGGCUAAGCCACUGCACUCUGGAUGCGCUGACCCCUGCAAUUUCCCCAAAUGUGGGAAGCUUAUAAUUUGUGGUAGUGUAGGACUGUGUCUGUGCUCUUCCCUA